CGUGUAGGCGGUCUGAUUAGUCUGAUGUGAAAGCCCUGGGCUCAACCCAGGAAGUGCAUUGGAUACUGUCAGACUUGAAUACGGGAGAGGGUAGUGGAAUUCCUAGUGUAGGAGUGAAAUCCGUAGAUAUUAGGAGGAACACCGGUGGCGAAGGCGGCUACCUGGACCGAUAUCGACGCUGAGACGCGAAAGCGUGGGUAGCAAACAGGAUUAGAUACCCUGGUAGUCCACGCCGUAAACGAUGAGUACUAGGUGUUGCGGGUAUUGACCCCUGCAGUGCCGCAGCUAACGCAUUAAGUACUCCGCCUGGGAAGUACGGUCGCAAGACUAAA
rnacentral:rRNA from 1 species